AUGCGGCGGCCACGCCGAGCGGGGAAGCCCGGGGGCGGCGGCGGGUGCGGGGGGAAGGCGGCGCCGGGGGCCGAGGAUGCUGAAGGGGGCCCCGUGAUCGCCGUCGGCGGGGAGGGCGACCCGUCGGUGCCAGGGAUCCCGGUGGCUGGGGAUGGCGGCGGGGAGAAGGCGCCGCUGGGGACGGCCGUCGCGGUUGCCCUGAAGAGCGCCGAGGGGGUGCCGGUGAUCGCCGUCGUCAGUGAUGUGGAGCCGGCGGUGCUAGGGGUUCCGGUGGCCGCGGCGGCUGGGGGCGGUGACGGCGGGGAGAAGGCGCCACUGGGGGCGGAGGUCGCGGCGGCCGUGAAGGGCGCCAAGGGGGCGCCGGUGGUCGCCGUCGGCGGGGAGGCCGAGGCCCCCGUGCAAGGGGAUCCGGCGGCCCCCGCCGCUGAUCGGAAGGCCGAUGCGCCAGCGGCGAAAGGAGUGGCGGAGAAGGAUGACGAGGGGGUGAGGUGGCUCAAGCACUACUCGUCGAUGCAGAGCAUACUCGUCGUCGGCGACGGGGAUUUCUCCUUCUCGCUGGCGCUCGCCACCGCGUUCGGCUCCGGCGAGCACAUCGUCGCCACGUCCCUCGACUCCUACGACACUUUAAAGAAGAAGUAUGGCAAUGCUGAGGCAAACAUAACAGAGCUGAAAAGGUUGGACUGUACAGUUUUGCAUGGUGUUGAUGCAAAACUGAUGAAGCUUUACCCUUCUCUGAAGAUGAGACGGUUCGAUCGGAUCGUCUUUAAUUUUCCUCAUGCUGGGUUCAACGGAAAAGAGGAUAACCCGCUAGUCAUCAACUUGCAUAAGCAGCUGGUAAAUGGGUUUUUUGCCAAUGCACAACACCUGCUUCGGCCCUUUGGUGAAAUCCACCUUAGCCACAAGACAGGAUAUCCUUACGACGCAUGGGAUAUCGAGCAACUAGCCAAUGAGUCUUGUCUUAUUAUGUUUGCUAAAGAUAUUUUCUGCAAAGAGGAGUACCCUGGUUAUAACCAAAAGAGAGGAGAUGGUGCAAAGUGCGAUCAAUCUUUUGCUCUAGGUCCUUGCUACACGUUUAAGUUCUGCAUCGGAGACGUAAAGAAACUGAAGAAAGCACGUGGAAACGUUGGUUCAGUCUCAUCCCUUGGAGGCAGCAAAUUCUAUCCUGGCAUCUUAGCAACUGACACGAGGCCAUUUGAUUUGCAUCCACUUGCUCCAGCAUGGCCUCGGCCACACUUUCCUCCAGCCAACAGAGUUGACAUGCCAAUCAUGUUUGAUCCUUACCCCUUUGGAGGUCCUCCAAUGGAACGUCCAGGUUUGCCACUCAACUUCUAUGGCCCAGAGAGAGCUCCUUACUUUCAUCACCAGGACAUGAUCCAGCCACUGUGCAGAGGGCCACCGCUGCAUGUUUUGCCCAACCAAGGCAGCUUUCAUCCACCAAUGGACAUGAUCCAGCCACUGUGCAGAGGGCCACCGCUGCAUGUUUUGCCCAGCCAAGGCGGCGAGUUUCAUCCACCAAUGCCCCGCCUCGUGCAUCCAGAGCAGCCUUGGCACCAAGAGAGGCCUCCAGUUGUGCCACCAUGGAGAAGCAACGACUACUACUCAGGAGAAUACCAGAGGAGUCUGCAGCGGGAGUAUGAGAUUGAGAGGCAACUGAUGCCUGGAGGAGCCAGCCUGGGUUACUCUGAUUUCCUUGAGAAUCGCUACAGGGAGUCGGAUCAGAGGCGGGGGAGGCUGGAAAUGCUGAUUCAGUUCUACGGUGGGCGGUGA
rnacentral:rRNA from 1 species